rnacentral:rRNA from 1 species
CGGGGUGAGUAACGCGUGGGUAACCUGCCUCAUACAGGGGGAUAACAGUUGGAAACGGCUGCUAAUACCGCAUAAGCGCACAGCUUCGCAUGAAGCAGUGCGAAAAACUCCGGUGGUACAAGAUGGACCCGCGUCUGAUUAGCUGGUUGGUGAGGUAACGGCCCACCAAGGCGACGAUCAGUAGCCGGCCUGAGAGGGUGAGCGGCCACAUUGGGACUGAGACACGGCCCAA